UACGUAGGGCGCAAGCGUUAUCCGGAAUUACUGGGCGUAAAGCGUGCGUAGGUGGUUUGUUAAGUCUGUUGUGAAAGCCCCGGGCUCAACCUGGGAAUGGCAAUGGAUACUGGCAGGCUAGAGUGCGGUAGAGGGUAGUGGAAUUCCCGGUGUAGCGGUGAAAUGCGUAGAGAUCGGGAGGAACACCAGUGGCGAAGGCGGCUACCUGGACCAGCACUGACACUGAGGCACGAAAGCGUGGGGAGCAAACAGG
rnacentral:rRNA from 1 species